rnacentral:lncRNA from 10 species
UACAGUCAGUAAAGGCCCAUAUCAGCCAAAUCCCACCUUACAUGUAUUAGUAUAUUCUGAAUUUUUCACUCAUUAAUAUCCUGACUUCUGCUUUAAAUCUAUAGCCUUAACCUUGCACCACAUGUCUUACAUUCACUUUCUCUUUCCUAUAAGGAAGUGGUGCUAACUGAAUGACAUGGGUGUCAGCAGAACAUGCUGUGGCUUCACAACAAUGAAUGUCUCCAGGGAAGCUGCUCUGUCUUCAUUCUGAGCCCUAGAAUGAAGCAUCUGGGGCACAGCCACCUUGGCUGAUUCAAGAAGUGUGUAUCUGAAGAAGUAUGAUCCAAAGAAGUAGGACCACCCCAGCUACCAAGUCCUGAAGUAGAGUUGUUUCAUCCAACUUCAGACAUGUGAGAAAUAGAUGGACAUUGUAUGCCACUGAGAUUUUGUGGUUGUUUGUUAUGCGGCAAAAGCUGACUGAUACAGACCACUUAGCCAAAGUAAAGUAUAUUCAACUCUUAGUUAUAUUUAUUGGAUUUUUUAGUUGCUUACUAUGUCUUGAGACUCUCCCUCACUCCUGUUUCCUUCCCUGAUUGUAGCUAAUCCUCUCUGUCAAGGAUGCUUCUGCUUCAAACUAAUCCUUCCAGCUCUCUUUUGAGAGAUACCUGCAACCACUUGACCACCUACUUGAUGUGAAUUUAGGCAAUGAACUUGGAUUGUUUGUCCUUUUAGUAUUGAAUUUUAUAGGGAUUCUUUAUACGUUCUGGAUACAAAUCCUUUGUCAGAUAUAUAAAUUGCAAAUAUUUUCCCCAAUCUGUUGCAUUUUUUCAGUUUAAUAGCAUCUUCUGAUGAGCAAAAAGUAAAAGUAAUUUUGAUGAACCUAAUCUAUCUUUUUUUGUCUUUUCUGGUUAGAGCAUUUUUUGUUCUAAAAAAGCUUUGCCUAGAUUGCAAAGAUAUUCUCCUCUCUUUUCUUGUUUAUAGUUGUAGCUUUAGUGUUUAGCUUCUAUAGAUUAACUUCAUAGUCUUAGCUUUUGUAUUAGGGCUAUGAGCUACCUUGAAUUAAUUUUUGUGAAUGGUGUGUGUUGUGGGUCAAGAUUAAUUUUCAUUCAUGUAAAUACCCAGUUUUAGUAAAUUUUAAUAUAAUAUCUUAUGUUAUUGAAAAAAGCAGGAUGUAAAAUAUAUACUGUAGGGUCAGAACCAUUUUUAAUCUUAUUUAAAGAAAUAGGAAAUAAAUGCAAUCAGAUUAAUAGACGUUGUCAUUGGUAGGACUUCGGGUGAGUUUUUUCUUCUUCCUACUUUUCUGUAUUUUCCAGUUUUCUAUUCUAAAGUUAUAUUAAUGUAAUAAUUUGGAGAAAAGCUCUAGUUUUCUUUUCUUUUCUUUUUUUUGAGACAGAGUUUUGCUCUUGUCACCCAGGCUGCAGUGCAAUGGCACAAUCUCGGCUCACUGCAACUUCUGCCUCCCAAAUUCAAGGAAUUCUCCUGCCUCAGCCUCCUGAGUAACUAGAAUUACAGGUGUGCACCACCACGUCUGGCUAAUUUUUGUAUUUGUAGUAGAGAUGGGGUUUCACCAUAUUGGUCAGGCUGGCCUUGAACUCCUGACCUCAGGUGAUCCACUCACCUCAGCCUCCCAAAGUGCUGGGAUUACAGGCGUGAGCCACCAUGCCUGGCCGAAAUUGCAAGAACCUUUAAGGUGAUCCCCCACAAACUGGAGCUAGGAUUAAGGUGGUUCCUCAGGCCUUUGUUCUGCCUACAAUGUUCAUGAGAGUUGCUUUCUAGGUUUGAUUGCUGCUCAAACAUUCAAAAUCUGAAAUAGCAAAGAAAGAAAAAAGAGGAAAUCUAUUCCAAAGCAGCUACUGUAACUGAAAGUUGAAUGCAUGCUGAGAAACAGUAUUAUAAUUUGAUAUAAUUUGAUAUUUCAGCCUUAUUUAUUCUGAAUUCCUAAAGCUUUGUAGGUAUCCAAUGCAUUAUGAAAAAAUAUUAUUUACCUAGAAGCCUAGGGUGCCAAAGGGUAUACCUUCUGUGUUUUAUUUGGCCUGUGGACAGGGGAAAUAUUACAUAAUUCUGUAACUAAGGCCAUCUCUCUGCAACUUCUCCAUAGCAUUCUGUGUCCUUGACCUUUACAUAGUGGGCUGUACUGUCCCUGUCACAAUGCUUGUGCAUUAUUCUUCUCUCAACCAGACCUCCUUAUUUACUCCUAAGUAGCUAACUCUUAUAUUAAUAUACUGUCUCUAAACCCCAUUCACUCCACCCAGACCUUUGCCCCUUCCUUUCCUCCUAGACCACAUGGUUAGUUAUUUCUAGUAGAUUUGUUCUAUUACCACAACUACCUUUCCUCCUAUAGUUUCCUCCUUGACAGUGCUAGCUUCCAGAAAACAUUUUGCUACACAGCCUUGUAACAUUGUCACCUGUCAUAUUACAACUGAUAUGGGAGUGCUGAGAAGCGAAGAGCAUCGUCCCUUUAAAUGACACGGAAGCGGAAGCGGGGAAGGGAAGUGCUGGGUAGAGUAGGGCGUGGUCCCUGGCUAGGGAUCCACCCCCAAGGACCUAGCGAAGGACAGGCACUCCUGCCUUGGAGCCUAAAUGUUGCAUUUCCCAAGACCACCCUGGCCUGCCAUGCCCCAUUCUGUGCCUAUAAAAACUUGAGACCCUAGCAGGCACACACACACAAGUGGCUGGACAGAAGAAGACACAAAUAGCUGGUCAUGGAGAGCACGCCGCAGAAGAGCAUGCUGACAGGCACCAGCAGGCCAUCAACCAGCAGAAGACGAAGUUUGGCCAGAGCGGUUGGAAAAGGGUCCAGCGGC